AGUUUGAUCCUCGGCUCAGGAUGAACGCUAGCGGCAGGCUUAACACAUGCAAGUCGAGGGGCAGCAUUAAGUUGGCGACCGGCAAACGGGUGCGGAACACGUACACAAUCUACCUUUGUCUGGGGCAUAGCCCGAAGAAAUUCGGAUUAACUCCCCAUAAGAUAUUAAAGUGGCAUCACUUAGAUAUUAAAAAUUUAUUGGACAGAGAUGAGUGUGCGUCCCAUUAGCUAGUUGGUAGGGUAACGGCCUACCAAGGCGACGAUGGGUAGCUGGUGUGAGAGCACGACCAGCCACACGGGCACUGAGACACGGGCCCGACUCCUACGGGAGGCAGCAGUGAGGAAUAUUGGUCAAUGGGCGCAAGCCUGAACCAGCCAUGCCGCGUGAAGGAUGAAGGCCUUCUGGGUUGUAAACUUCUUUUAUCUGGGAAGAAAAUUACGGUUUCUACUGUAACCGACGGUACCAGAGGAAUAAGCACCGGCUAACUCCGUGCCAGCAGCCGCGGUAAUACGGAGGGUGCAAGCGUUAUCCGGAUUUACUGGGUUUAAAGGGUGUGUAGGCGGGUCAUUAAGUCAGUGGUGAAAUCUCCGAGCUCAACUUGGAAACUGCCAUUGAUACUAUUGAUCUUGAAUUUUGUUGAGGUAGACGGAAUAAGUCAUGUAGCGGUGAAAUGCAUAGAUAUGACUUAGAACACCAAUUGCGAAGGCAGUUUACUAAACAAACAUUGACGCUGAGGCACGAAAGCGUGGGGAUCAAACAGGAUUAGAUACCCUGGUAGUCCACGCCCUAAACGAUGAUUACUCGACAUACGCGAUACACAGUGUGUGUCUGAGCGAAAGCAUUAAGUAAUCCACCUGGG
rnacentral:rRNA from 1 species